rnacentral:rRNA from 1 species
UACGUAGGGUGCAAGCGUUGUCCGGAAUCAUUGGGCGUAAAGCGCGCGUAGGUGGCCAUUUAAGUCCGCUGUGAAAGUCAAAGGCUCAACCUUUGAAAGCCGGUGGAUACUGGAUGGCUAGAGUACGGAAGAGGCGAGUGGAAUUCCUGGUGUAGCGGUGGAAUGCGCAGAUAUCAGGAGGAACACCAAUAGCGAAGGCAGCUCGCUGGGACGUUACUGACACUGAGGCGCGAAGCGUGGGGAG